CACAUGACUCCCGGCAACGGAUAUCUUGGCUCUUGCAUCGAUGAAGAACGUAGCAAAAUGCGAUACCUGGUGUGAAUUGCAGAAUCCCGUGAACCAUCGAGUUUUUGAACGCAAGUUGCGCCCAAGGCCUUUUGGCCAAGGGCACGUCUGCCUGGGUGUCACGU
rnacentral:rRNA from 1 species